rnacentral:ribozyme from 11 species
GAUCGGACAGAAGGAUGACAAGAGGAGAAAUCUGAGUGGAAGAUGAAAGGCUCAAAUUUUCCAACGCUUCUUUUCUUUUCUUCACUUUCUCUCAUCUGAUUCGCGAUUU